rnacentral:rRNA from 1 species
AUUGAACGCUGGCGGCAGGCUUAACACAUGCAAGUCGAGCGGUAACAGAGAGAAGCUUGCUUUUCUGCUGACGAGCGGCGGACGGGUGAGUAAUGCCUAGGAAUCUGCCUAGUAGUGGGGGAUAACUUGCCGAAAGGUAAGCUAAUACCGCAUACGUCCUACGGGAGAAAGGAGGGGACCUUCGGGCCUUUCGCUAUUAGAUGAGCCUAGGUCGGAUUAGUUAGUUGGUGAGGUAAUGGCUCACCAAGACCGCGAUCCGUAACUGGUCUGAGAGGAUGAUCAGUCACACUGGAACGGAGACACGGUCCAGACUCCCACGGGAGGCAGCAGUGGGGAAUAUUGGACAAUGGGGGGAACCCUGAUCCAGCCAUGCCGCGUGUGUGAAGAAGGUCUUAGGAUUGUAAAGCACUUUAAGUUGGGAGGAAGAGCAGUUAACUAAUAUUUGACUGUUUUGACGUUACCGACAGAAUAAGCACCGGCUAACUUCGUGCCAGCCGCCGCCGUAAUAC